rnacentral:rRNA from 1 species
AGCCAUGCAUGCCUUCGAAUACGAGGAAGCAAUUCUCUCUGAAUCUGCGAACGGCUCCGCAAACCAGUUGUAAACUAUAGCAAGCAAUCCCGGGGGUCGCCGUUAAAAAGCGGCCCUCUGGUAAGAAGGAUAACCAUGGUAAUUCUGAGGCUAAUACAAGAACGUAACCCCCGGCCGACCCGCGAGGGAAAGUCGGGAGACGUACGAGUUUUACGCGAGGAGUUAUCGGGAAAGAACGUACGUCUGGACCGCGUCAAAAAUCGGAUGGAUCCCAUCAACCCUCACGGGUCGGGGUUCGCCCGAGCGGCUCUUGCGGCGUGCUUCUGACCUAUCAACUAGAUGGCAGCGUAAGGGACAUGCUAUGGUGACAACGGGUACAGAGGAUUAGGGUUCGAUCCUGGAGAGUGGGCCUGAGAGAUUGCUCAUACUUCUAAGGAAGGCAGCAGGCGCGCAACGUUCCCCUUGGGCAAUGCUUGAGGGCGUUAGGGGACAUAUGAAUGCCUGCCUUAUAGGUGGGCAAUUCAAAUGGGUCUGUUGUAAACAGGCUC